UAACAAAAAUAGAUUGUAUGCAAAAAGCGAAUACAAUUUUUUGCAUUGAUAUUUUAUGCAUUAUGGAUGUAUAAUGCGUGCCCCAUUUACCUCACUCUGGAAUGUGUUUUCUUAUACAAUGUUUUUAAAACUUAUUCCAGGCAGAGGGUGUUAGUGAGACUGGAGGCUGCUCAACCGAGCAACAACGCAAAUCCCGGAUGAAUCGCAUUCAAGCAGUAACAAAAUAGUUUUCAAUACAUGAUUCCCAAUUAACAGGUGACGGAACGCGAACUACAAAUGAAAACAUAAAACGUACAGCAGAUCAACACGAUGGAGUCGAAGCUCAAGUAGAACCCAAUCAAUCUGUCAUAUACCCCGAAGAACCGGACAAGAAGUCGGUCGAGCGUUUGGCCUGCCUCGAAGACAAGCAAAUUUCAGACGAAUCCGAUCAUAGAGCUUCCACAAAAAUCAUUCAGAUGGCAGGAUUCAAGGGCAAUGCAACCACCUGUGACAUUGUGCAGAAUAUCCUGAUUUGCUUACCGCCAUUUAGUCAGAUGACAAGGGGCCAAAGCCAGUGGCGACUAAUGACGAGGAGUCCGUUCCCAUAUAGGCGGCUGGUGGCUGGUACCAUUUGAUGUGAUUCAGCUGUGCCCCACAGACCCAUUACGCUUUGAAAAAUUGCAAGCAACAAAAACCUAAUGACACCAGAAGUAGAUAUACGUAGAGGUUCAAGACAUAAAAACCAAAUUGCAUCUUUCUGGAGGACCCAUUCCAUAUUAAUAGAAAUCAAAUGAAACUUUCCGAAAAAUUUGUUAAAUUUAAAUUUGUGUGAAUUGUUAGUUUGUUAGCUCCACU